GAUGAACGCUGGCGGCGUGCCUAAUACAUGCAAGUCGAGCGAACAGAUGAGGAUCUUGCUCCUCUGACGUUAGCGGCGGACGGGUGAUUAACACGUGGAUAACCUACCUAUAAGACUGGGAUAACUUCGGGAAACCGGAUCUAAUACCGGAUAAUAUAUUGAACCGCAUGGUUCAAUAGUGAAAGACGGUUUUGCUGUCACUUAUAGAUGGAUCCGCGCCGCAUUAGCUAGUUGGUAAGGUAACGGCUUACCAAGGCAACGAUGCGUAGCCGACCUGAGAGGGUGAUCAGCCACACUGGAACUGAGACACGGUCCAGACUCCUACGGGAGGCAGCAGUAGGGAAUCUUGCGCAAUGGGCGAAAGCCUGACGGAGCAACGCCGCGUGAGUGAUGAAGGUCUUCGGAUCGUAAAACUCUGUUAUUAGGGAAGAACAAAUGUGUAAGUAACUAUGCACGUCUUGACGGUACCUAAUCAGAAAGCAACGGCUAACUACGUG
rnacentral:rRNA from 1 species